rnacentral:lncRNA from 1 species
ACAAUCGGUUUAUUCUCUCUCUUCUCUUAUCCAAUAUAACCAAAGGGUUGUCCUGUACUCUGAGUGUUGCAAUAAACUUUUUUUCUUGGAUGAGCUCUAUUUAUUUAUGAUCUAUUAUCCUUUUAAGUGUAGCCUCGGGACUGGAGGGAUGGCUAAGCGGAUAGGUACUUGAUGUGCGAGUGUAAGGGGUUUAAGACCCCACAGGAAGAACAACAAUAUCAACCAACCAGAUGCCCCAGAGCUCCCAGGGACUAAACCACCAACCUAAGAAUACACAUGGAGGGACCCACGCCUCCAGCCACAUAUGUAGCAAAGGAUGGCCUUAUUUGGCAUCAAUGGGAGGGGAGGCCCUUGGUCCUGUGAAUGCUGGAUUCCCCAGUGUAGGGAAAUGCCAGGGCAGGGAGGCAGAAGUGGGUGGGUGGGUGGGGAAGCGCCCUCAUAGAAGCAGGGGGGAGGGGAGAUGGGAUAGAGGGCUUGCGGAGGACAAACCGGAAAAAGGGGAUAACAUUUGAA